rnacentral:rRNA from 1 species
UACGGAGGGUGCGAGCGUUGUCCGGAAUCAUUGGGCGUAAAGGGCGCGUAGGUGGCCCGGUCAGUCUUUGGUGAAAGCGCGGGGCUCAACCCUGCGUCGGCCAGGGAUACUGCCGCGGCUCGAGCACUGUAGAGGCAGGCGGAAUUCCGGGUGUAGCGGUGGAAUGCGUAGAGAUCCGGAAGAACACCGGUGGCGAAGGCAGGUCUCUGGGCCGAUACUGACGCUGAGGAGCGAAAGCGUGGGGAGCGAACAGG